CUCAAAUUCUGUUUGUAAUACUUAGCUCAACAAUCUUAAACACGCUUGAAUCCCUGCAGAAGCCGACAUUUAGGAGUUUCAAGGCAGUCCACAUGAUACGCGGACAGCAGCAUGCAGCCUGGCUACCCUCUCUGCUCCUUUUGAUAGGGUACAUGUGGUAAUAUAUUUUAUAUAUACAUGCAUAUCUGUUUGUGUGUGUGUGUGUGUGUGUGUGUGUGUGUAUAAAUAUUGGCUUUGAUCCACAGUGAGUCUUUAAAGAUCAAUAAAAAUGGAUGAUGUCAGGAAGCUGUUUUUGGCCUUAUAGGCCAGGAAAAAGGAAAAUGUUUUGAAGGGGUAGACAGGAACACUUCCACAGCUCAGUUGCUAUCACUACUUUUCAUAUUUAAAGUUAACACAAGCUGCUCGUCUGAAUCCCAAUGGAAAAGGUGAAUGGAUAUUCCAGUUCUGUACCUUUAUCAAAUUCAGAUGUACCUUAGAUUCCUUUCAGUUUGUUUCCUGUAGUAUUAGGAUUAACAGCAGCAACAACAAAAAUCCUCCCAGCUCAGAUAUUUAGGAAGAAGAACCCAUUUUGAAUCUGUGUUUAUGUGCCCCCUGUUCUCAGAUGCUAUGUGUGUUGAAGGAGCAGUUGUUCAUUUUGUAGGUGCCAGUGUCAGGGAAUGAGGGAUCCAAGUGGUCCCAAGCACCUAGGCUUUGGUAAUCUCAGAGCAGUGUGAGAGUCUGCUGGGUCAGAACUGUCUUCCCUCUGGGUGUGGUGCCUCCUCUCUGCACUGUAGUGUUCCCUGAGAGCAAGCCCAGGAAACGCCACUUAGUAACGAGGAAAGCUUUCUCCUUAUGUGAGUUUUCUAAUUAAAAUGUUUUCCAUCUGAUGGGGAAGUGUGUGAAUAUCAAGAACUGGAAAUUAAGCAAGAAAUUAAAAGAACAUUAAUGGUUUCUUUGCAAUUUGUUUUGAGGUUUUCCUCACUAAGUGGUAUUUUGCUUACAAAGUCACCCUUUCACACAUAAAUCUUUAUGACAAAUGGACUGGAAUAUAUCCCAGCAAAAGAAGAGCUAUGGUGUCAUGUGUAAAUUAUAUCACACAUUGUGAAAGAGAACCCAAAGCAUUCACUUUUUAAAAAAGCAUUGUUAGUGCAGUUACUUAAUUGGUGUAUACAAAAUUAUAGUUUAUUUGAAAGUGAAGGUUGGUUUGUCUAGAGGACUGGAAGAAUAAGUGUUCUGACAUUUGUUCAUUGUUUGAAUUUACACUCCAGACACCAGAAUGCUCAAUAAAUCCAAAGUGUGAUUUACUGACUCUUUAAAAAGUUCACUGCUGAAACUUUAUCCAUCGCAACCAGUGUCCCUUCACCCCGAGGUAUGUUUGAUCUGCAGUAGGCAGGCACCUGCCCUUCCUGGUCCUUGGGCCUCAGGGAGUGCAUCGAAUGCCACACUGGCAGUUUUGUUUGUUUUGUUAUCUGGAUUUGUGUCUACUAGUAAAGUCUUCAUUAAGCUGCAGCUUCUACCUCUGGGUGGAGAAGUAGGUGGAAACAGGGAACUGUCAAACUCUGUAGCCCUUCCCGGCCUACCUCAAAGUGCCCCCACCCACAGCCUCUCACCUGCCUCUUCUCUCUCCUAGACCUCAGGGUACUGCAUGUUCUGUCUGCUGUGCUUUCAGUUUCCUUCUCUGGCCCAGCCCUUCCUCCCUACUUCCGUUUAUUCUGGUGGACAGCCUUUAGGGGCCAGCCCAGAUGCCACUUCUUCAUGCACCCUUUCUUGGGCUCCAUUCUGCAUAGUCCAUCCUUUGGUUCAUUCUUCUCCUUCCCAUAUCCCCUGUGAGGACUGUCGCCAUGAAAAUGUCAUGAUCUCUUUAUUGGUGUCUUUAAUCUACUAAAUCAGGAGCUCUUUGGGAGCAGGUGCUGGGCCUCCCUUAGAUUUCUGUUUCCCUAGAACCCAGCCCAGCACCUGCACAUGGUUGUGAGUGAAUGAAUUCGGGUGGAUGGGUGGGGGAGUGAUGGUGGGGUAAUGUACCUUCAAGUCAAAAAGGUAAACUUGAUUCCUGUUUUGGAGAAAGAGAAGAAUAAAUACUGUUUUUGUUUAUACAGGUCUUAAAAUUUUGGUAGCAGAGAGCAAAUGUGCAGAGAGCAAUGGAAAACAAGUCAGAAGCUGCUGUCUGAUUCCAGAGAAGGUCACAUUUUAUGCAAAAAGAAAAAAAGUAAUUUACAUUUGAUCACCUUGAGAUCUUCAAUUUGUCAUUGUGAUAUCUUAAGUAACUAAUGAUUAAGUGAAAUAAAUCUUGGGAAAAUAGAUCACAAAUGGAAUGAGGACUUUGCAUUGUAAGAAACCCACAACUCUUUUCUUUUCACAACAUGACCUUUUUAAAAAGUACCUUAUUGCAGGCUUGUGAAGGUGGCUGGCCUCUGAGCACUGGGCACAUGCCUGAAAGUGAUAGGCCUUUUUUAUUUACCUUGAUCCGCUGGAAUUAAACAGUCAUGCUUAUAUUCAGUUAGUUUGAGGUUUGGUUGGAAUUCAGUUCCAAAUUGGCGAAAGAAAUGAGCAUCCAGCCCCUCUUCCUCAUAUUGUCCAACUUGCCUUAUGAGACUCAUAUGCACAGUAUUCCCUGUUUAAACUGAAGUCACUCACUUGACUCUGUCCCUGCAGUAGUCCCUAAGGAAGGUAAACGAACAGAUAUCUUGAGACUUCCUUCUGCAUCAGUAGUUUUGAUAGUUUCAAGGCCACUGUGGAAUUCACCUGUAGUCUGUUAGGACCUUACCUUACUUAGGAACAUUAGUCCUUUUACUCACACACCCUCCAGUAUCCCUUUGGAAUGCUGUGUUUUUCUAACCCAUGAAACUGGUCUAGAAAGUACAGUAGCAAGUGCUGAGAAUUGAAGUCCACCUUCCUAGUGCUGUGCUUCACAAAUAGUCUCUAGCUGGGGGCCUCUCAGAGCAUGGUGUUCUGUUAUAUCAAUAUGUACUUAGACAUGCUAAUCUGAAUUAGAGAGCCGAUAUACAUAAUGACUCCCCUGGGAUGCUAUAUUAGAAAAAAAACAAAACAAAAACUGAAGUAGUUUGCUGAAUAUGCAUAGGAAGCUAAAAAAUAAAAUCCUUCUAAAAUGAGCGUUAAUUGAAUCUGGACCUUGAUCAUCUUUGAACCUCUAAUUUUUAAUUUGAUCCUUUAAAAAAGUUUUAUAGGUUCUUGAAGACAAAAUCUACAACUCAAUAAAAGUUAUGCUGUAGUGAUUGCCUAAAGACUGUACAAAGCCCAAUUUUGAGGUAUUGUUGCUCCAUGUAUACACAGCAUGUGUGGGGUAGAUGUAUAUAUAUGUACAUGUUCAUGCAUACACAUACCAACUAUAUGUGCUUAAUCUAUGCUGUAGUUUGCCUUUAUUCAGAUUCCCUCUAGAAAUGGGGCAAAUUUUCUUCAGUUAAAAACAGAAAUAGAAGCGCCGGCCUUGACCCAUUUUAUACCUGUUUAUUUCAGGCUCUCACCACACACUUGUUCAUGGGCACAGCAAGAAGAGGGAUCCACAGAGCUGGAGCCGUGAGGUCUGACACAUUGGGGUGAAGCUGGCAAAAUUCGUAGGGAGAGCUUUACCAUCCUGCCAGCUCCAUAUCUGGCCUCAAGACAGU
rnacentral:lncRNA from 1 species